rnacentral:rRNA from 1 species
AGUGAACGCUGGCGGUAGGCCUAACACAUGCCAGUCGAACGGCAGCACAGUAAGAGCUUGCUCUUACGGGUGGCGAGUGGCGGACGGGUGAGGAAUACAUCGGAAUCUACUUUUUCGUGGGGGAUAACGUAGGGAAACUUACGCUAAUACCGCAUACGACCUACGGGUGAAAGCAGGGGAUCUUCGGACCUUGCGCGAUUGAAUGAGCCGAUGUCGGAUUAGCUAGUUGGCGGGGUAAAGACCCACCAAGGCGACGAUCCGUAGCUGGUCUGAGAGGAUGAUCAGCCACACUGGAACUGAGACACGGUCCAGACUCCUACGGGAGGCAGCAGUGGGGAAUAUUGGACAAUGGGCGCAAGCCUGAUCCAGCCAUACCGCGUGGGUGAAGAAGGCCUUCGGGUUGUAAAGCCUUUUUGUUGGGAAAGAAAAGCAGCAGGUUAAUACCCCGCUGUUCUGACGGUACCCAAAGAAUAAGCACCGGCUAACUUCGUG